AAGGGAAAGGUGUGCCUAAAAGAAGCUGCUAACUAUCUUUUAAAGCGGUUAAAUUCCGUUUUUCCCUUA
rnacentral:tRNA from 1 species